rnacentral:rRNA from 1 species
AUGUUGUACCUGGGAUGGGGUGCACGCUACUGUGAGGGUUGUUCUGGGCACGACACAAACACACUUGUACCCGAAACAUCUACGGGUGCAUUCUCAUCAUGGUGUACCUGGAACACCUGCGGGCGCUUGUUGUACCUAGAACACCUGCAAGGGCAUGUUGUACCUGGGAUGAUUGUCGGACACUACUGUGAGGGCUGUUCCGGGCACAACACAACCAAAUUAGUUCUCGGAACAUCUACUGGUGCAUUCCCAUCAUGUUGUACCUGGAACACCUGCGGGCGCAUGUUAUACCUGGAAUACCUGCAGGGGCAUGCUGCACCUUGGACGGGGCACCACGCUACUGUGAGGGUUGUUCCGCGCAUGGCACAACCAAAUUUGUAUACGAAAUAUCUACUGGUGCAUUCUCAUCAUAUUGUACCAGGAACACCUGCGGGGGCAUGUUGUACCUAG